rnacentral:rRNA from 1 species
UAAGGAAUAUUGGUCAAUGGACGCAAGUCUGAACCAGCCAUGCCGCGUGGAGGAUGAAGGUCCUCUGGAUUGUAAACUUCUUUUAUUUGGGAAGAAAUCUAUCUUUUCUUGGAUAGUUGACGGUACCAGAUGAAUAAGCACCGGCUAACUCCGUGCCAGCAGCCGCGGUAAUACGGAGGGUGCAAGCGUUAUCCGGAUUCACUGGGUUUAAAGGGUGCGUAGGUGGGCAGGUAAGUCAGUGGUGAAAUCUCCGGGCUUAACCCGGAAACUGCCAUUGAUACUAUCUGUCUUGAAUACCCUGGAGGUGAGCGGAAUAUGUCAUGUAGCGGUGAAAUGCUUAGAUAUGACAUAGAACACCCAUUGCGAAGGCAGCUCACUACGGGACUAUUGACACUGAGGCACGAAAGCGUGGGGAUCAAACAGGAUUAGAUACCCUGGUAGUCCACGCCCUAAACGAUGGAUACUCGACAUCAGCGAUAAACUGUUGGUGUCUGAGCAAAAGCAUUAAGUAUCCCACCUGGGAAGUACGAUCGCGAGAUUGC